GGCUUUGGACAACAGCUCUUUCCGCCAUCUUGGAACCUGUGGAGGCCUGCGGGGAACAGGACUCCUAAAACAAC